rnacentral:rRNA from 1 species
CCUACGGGAGGCAGCAGUGAGGAAUAUUGGUCAAUGGACGAGAGUCUGAACCAGCCAAGUAGCGUGAAGGAUGACUGCCCUAUGGGUUGUAAACUUCUUUUAUAUGGGAAUAAAAUGUUCCACGUGUGGGAUUUUGUAUGUACCAUAUGAAUAAGGAUCGGCUAACUCCGUGCCAGCAGCCGCGGUAAUACGGAGGAUCCGAGCGUUAUCCGGAUUUAUUGGGUUUAAAGGGAGCGUAGGUGGAUUGUUAAGUCAGUUGUGAAAGUUUGCGGCUCAACCAUGAGAGUGCGGCGCGAACUGGAGACCUUGAGUGCGCGGAAGGCAGGCGGAAUUCGUGGUGUAGCGGUGAAAUGCUUAGAUAUCACGAAGAACCCCGAUUGCGAAGGCAGCCUGCCGCAGCGUUACUGACGCUGAAGCUCGAAAGCGCGGGUAUCGAACAGGAUUAGAUACCCCUGUAGUC